GCCUUUGUGGCAAAAAUGGUUAAGUGUUCGACUACUAACCUAAAGGUUGAUGGUUCAAACCCACCCAGUGGCU
rnacentral:tRNA from 1 species